rnacentral:SRP_RNA from 1 species
AAUAAAUAGUGGAGCAACAGUUCUGCGUGAAGCGGGUCAGGGGAGGAAUCCAGCAGCCCUAAGCGAUUUGAA